AGACAGAGUCUCACUCCAUCAACUAAGCUGGAGUGCAGUGGCAUGAUUGCAGCCCUGAACUCCUGGCAUGAGCCACAGUGCUUGGCCAUAAAUGUAAUUUUAAUAGAAUGGAAUGCUCUUAUAUGGACCACCGAUUUGCAGGAUUAGCACUGACUCAUAAGACUCAAAGGAACUUUGGACUGCCAUCUAUUGAAUUUCAUCUAUAUUAAAAGAAAAUGAAACCUCCUGAGCUGUCCGGUAAUAGAAAGAAGCUGCAGAACCCUGUUGUCUUCAUCUUUUGUUUAACUCAUGCAACAUUUGAAAGCACGUUUGCCUACAAGAAAUAAAACUUAAGUUGUGAAAUGGCUUAUUAAUGAACUCAGAUGACAAGAAACCAAAACAGCGGGCCUGGCUGAAGGAUUCAUCCCUAGCCCUGAAAGCCAGCGGGGUCUUUCUGUAACAUCAAAGGCACAAACAAUUGAACCGACAUGGGGACUUAUUCUGUCCAGCAGCCCUGGUGGCCUCAGACCAUCCGAAGCAAGGGUAACCUACCAGAAAGCUGCUAGAUGUUCCCCACUACAGUGAAGGAUUAAACAAAGAAUGAAGAAGAAGUAGGACUCAAGAAGUAAAUGAUCCAACUCAAGAAAGAGAUGACCAAGUGGAAUACCUUUUAAAGGCUUCAAGACUUUUCUUUCCCACUCCUCCCUGCCCAUGCGAGGGAGGCUCCAUUUUAAAAUGUAACACACACACACAAAAAAACGGAUUUGAAAUAAGGCAUUAGCCUGAGGUAACUUACCCCCACCUUGGCUCCAGAGCAGCUUGGAUUUCCGAUUCUUUGAGCAGGUCAGUGAUUUGGGGAACCAGUAAAAGAGCCGGGCUAUUCUUCUGAAGGUCUCAUGAAAGUCACUUCUUAUGGCCAUAGCGAGAACCAGGAGUGUUCCAGAAUGACUCGCUACAGAGAGCAUGGAUGAGGAGCACAGUAACACCCACAUAUGACACUUUAGCUGUGAACUGCCUUUCAGCCAAUAUGUCUGGGGACCACCUGUUAGCCCUAAAUCCCCUUCCUCUGUCAUUCUUUUGGCUUGUCCUUUAGACCUUGGCCCUCAUAACUAGAAACUGUAUUAAUAGAUGUUCUUUCUAAAGAAAGAGUUUUAAGCUUUCUUAAGAGAAGCUCUAACCUAAUGCAACACUUGGUAAUUUUCAAGCAUGGACCUCCUGACCUCGUUCAUAAAAACACAAUUUUUUCAUAGAGGAGUGAAAAAAAACAGGAUCCACUA
rnacentral:lncRNA from 1 species